rnacentral:rRNA from 1 species
UACGUAGGGCGCAAGCGUUGUCCGGAAUUAUUGGGCGUAAAGAGCUCGUAGGCGGCUUGUCGCGUCGGAUGUGAAAGCUCGGGGCUUAACCCCGGGUCUGCAUUCGAUACGGGCAGGCUAGAGUGUGGCAGGGGAGAUCGGAAUUCCUGGUGUAGCGGUGAAAUGCGCAGAUAUCAGGAGGAACACCGGUGGCGAAGGCGGAUCUCUGGGCCUGUACUGACGCUGAGGAGCGAAAGCGUGGGGAGCAAACAGG